GAUGAACGCUGACAGAAUGCUUAACACAUGCAAGUCAACUUGAACUUCGGUUUGGGUGGCGGACGGGUGAGUAACGCGUAAAGAACUUGCCUCACAGAUAGGGACAACAUUUGGAAACGAACGCUAAUACCUGAUAUUAUGAUUAUAUGGCAUCGUAUGAUUAUGAAAGCUAUAUGCGCUGUGAGAGAGCUUUGCGUCCCAUUAGCUAGUUGGAGAGGUAACGGCUCACCAAGGCGAUGAUGGGUAGCCGGCCUGAGAGGGUGAUCGGCCACAAGGGGACUGAGACACGGCCCUUACUCCUACGGGAGGCAGCAGUGGGGAAUAUUGGACAAUGGACCAAGAGUCUGAUCCAGCAAUUCUGUGUGCACGAUGAAGUUUUUCGGAAUGUAAAGUGCUUUCAGUUGGGAAGAAAAAAAUGACGGUACCAACAGAAGAAGUGACGGCUAAUACGAGCCAGCCGCCGCGGUAAGAC
rnacentral:rRNA from 1 species